UGGCGGACGGGUGGAGUAACGCGUGGGUAACCUGCCCUGUACAGGGGGAGUAACAGUCAGAAAUGACUGCUAAUACCGCAUAAGACCACAGCACCGCAUGGUGCAGGGGUAAAAACUACCGGUGGUACAGGAUGGACCCGCGUCUGAUUAGCUGGUUGGUGAGGUAACGGCUCACCAAGGCGACGAUCAGUAGCCGGCUUGAGAGAGUGAACGGCCACAUUGGGACUGAGACACGGCCCAAACUCCUACGGGAGGCAGCAUG
rnacentral:rRNA from 1 species